CAAAUGUUUAUCCCAAAAUUCAAAAGUGAAUCCAAAAUUCUGGAUUCGCCGCCGUUCGACUUUUAAUCUCCAACCACAGAAACAUCAAUCAAAAGGCUGCGGGCUACAGGCGCAUCAGCUCUUACAGAGAAGCACAACCUGAGACCAGAAGUGUAAAAGGGAUCGUCGAAAGGGCCAAAAGGGGAAAACGGUUGUACAAAUCACAAUGGCUUUGCAUGCCUUCCGUCACCUUCAGUGUUCAAGACGAGGCGACAGGAAAUUUCAGCCUCGAUCUGACUGGUUUCAAAUAAUUUCCUCUGGAAUGCAAUGGCAAGAUUGAGGCCCGCCUUACCUGCCGGUAGAGAUGAGGCGCACCGUGGAGACCCUCACCAGACGCAAAUGUGACAGAAGUCUGCAAACAGCUCAUAUUAUUUAUGGACGACAGCACUAUUGCGUGAAACUGUGCUUACAACACUUCUCCGGUUUCCCCCAUAGAGAUCCACGUCGCUGUGCAGCAGCUGUCUCCCUGCUCUUUUUCAUUUCCCUCCUCCGGUUAUUCACUCUUGAGGCGCCGUCUCGCCACGCUCUGUUGCAGGCUAAUUACCUGCGUCGCUCGGAAAAGAAGAUGAGGAGGAGAUCCCCGAGCGGAAGUGACAGGUGUCUUUGUCCCUCUGUAAACAGCCUUACCCGCCCCGCCGCCCUCCGCUCCGGACUCCUGAGUGCGCCGCGAGUGUCGGCGUAAAUGACGAAUCUUUUCAAGGCCACUUCAUUCUUGACAUUGAUUCCAAUAAAUCCAGAACGAGAACCAAAAGUGUACUUACCGUCUCCGUCUGCUGCCACCGGUUUACUCGUAAAUUGCCAUUCUUCUCAUGACUCGACGACUUGCAAGAGAGGCCUGCGUAUGAAACGGCUAUGUUUUUAAACAGACACCGGAGCUUUGUUUUUAAAUUUAACGUUACGACCUGGAACUAGGGAACGCCUGCAGUGCCUUGCAAAAACAUUCGGCCCCCUUGAACUUUUCAAUCUUUUGCCACUUUGAAAUGUUAAUGCAGGACCAUUCUGGAAGAAAACCUGUUGGAGUCUGCAAAAGACCUGAGACUGCGACGGAGAUUUAUCUUCCAACAAGACAAUGAUCCCAAACAUAAAAGCAAAAUCUACAAUGGAAUGGUUCACAAAUAAAUAUAUCCAGGUGUUAGAAUGGUCAAGUCAAAGCCCAGACCUGAAUCCAGUCGAGAAUCUGUGGAAAGAGCUGAAAACCGCUGUUCACAAGCGCUCUCCGUCCAACCUCACUGAGCUUCGGCUGUUUUAAGGAAGAAUGGGCAAGAAUUUCAGUCUCUUGAUGUGGAAAACUGACAGAGACAAAACCAAGAGACUAGCAGCUGUAACUGCGGCAAAAGGUGGCGCCACAAAGUAUUAACGCAAGGGGGGCGGAAAAUAUUGCACGCCCCACUUUGCAGUUUUUUAUUUGUUAAAAAAAAGUUUAAAAUACCCAAUAAAUUUUGUUCCACCUCAC